rnacentral:rRNA from 1 species
UGCGCCGAUAAUUUACCGGGGCUAAGCAUACUACCGAAGCUAUGGAUCCCAAGGGAUGGUAGGGGAGCGUUCCAUGAACGGAGAAGUACGACCGAAAGGACGUGUGGAGAUCAUGGAAGAGAGAAUGCCGGUGUGAGUAGCGGAACGUGGGUGAGAAUCCCACGCACCGAAAACCCAAGGUUUCCAGAGGAAGGUUCGUCCGCUCUGGGUAAGUCGGGACCUAAGGCGAGGCCGAAAGGCGUAGUCGAUGGACAACAGGUAGAGAUUCCUGUACCCGUAUAUAUGUGAAGGAAUGACGGAGAGAGGAAGCUGCAGCCAGCGGCUGGAAGAGCUGGUGCAAGCGAGAUAUCGGGAUGGCAGGCAAAUCCACCAUCCGAAACGAGAAGGCGUGAAGCGUACGGAAAGCUACGGCGAGAACUAUAGCUAAGGAACUCUGCAAAAUGACUCCGUAACUUAGGGAGAAGGAGUGCUCAUAGAGAUAUGAGCCGCAGUGAAACGGCCCAAGCGACUGUUUACCAAAAACACAGCUCUCUGCUAAGCCGCAAGGCGAAGUAUAGGGGGUGACGCCUGCCCGGUGCUGGAAGGUUAAGGGGAGGGGUUAACGCAAGUGAAGCCCUGAACUGAAGCCCCAGUAAACGGCGGCCGUAACUAUAACGGUCCUAAGGUAGCGAAAUUCCUUGUCAGGUAAGUUCUGACCCGCACGAAAGGCGUAACGAUUUGGGCGCUGUCUCAGCUGUAGACUCGGUGAAGUCUUAGUACCUGUGAAGAUGCAGGUUACCCGCGACUAGACGGAAAGACCCCAUGGAGCUUCACUGCAGGUUGAUAUUGGGAUUUGAUGCAGCAUGUACAGGAUAGGUAGGAGGCAAAGAGAUGGAUACGCCAGUAUUCAAGGAGCCGCUGUUGGGAUACUACCCCUGUUGUAUUGGAUUUCUAACCGGACGACGUAGAGCCGUUGACGGGACAGUGUCAGUCGGGCAGUUUGACUGGGGCGGUCGCCUCCCAAAGAGUAACGGAGGCGCCCAAAGAUACCCUCAGCUUGGAUGGAAACCAAGCGCAGAGUGCAAAGGCAAAAGGGUGUUUGACUGCGAGACCCACAAGUCGAGCAGGGACGAAAGUCGGGCUUAGUGAUCCGG